GGUUUGUUUUGCCUGAACCCAUCACCAACUGGGAGAUUAAUCCACCACACUGAAAAUGG
rfam:Neotoma lepida isolate 417 scaffold_21169, whole genome shotgun sequence.